UACGAAGGGGGCUAGCGUUGUUCGGAAUUACUGGGCGUAAAGCGCGCGCAGGCGGCUAUCCAAGUCAGUGGUGAAAGCCCGGAGCUCAACUCCGGAACUGCCAUUGAAACUGUUUAGCUUGAGGAUGAGAGAGGUGAGUGGAAUUCCCAGUGUAGAGGUGAAAUUCGUAGAUAUUGGGAAGAACACCGGUGGCGAAGGCGGCUCUCUGGACCACAACUGACGCUGAGGCGCGAAAGCGUGGGGAGCAAACAGG
rnacentral:rRNA from 1 species